CUGUUUGGGGCUGGAAUACAGCGCCAGGUUGGAGACAACAUCCUCCAGGUGGAGGGGGGCUGUCCUACAGGAUGGGUAAACACUCUGAACCAGGGGCGCCUCCAUGAUGCCAGAUGACACACACCCAGGAGCCCUAAGGUAUCACUUCUCAAGAUCACACCCAGUGACUCAUUCUUUAAACGUUGGCUUCCUCUUCCUGUCCGGCUGAACUCUGCUGUUUGGGGGAACUUUCUGUUUCCACCAGAGAGGACAACGUAGUGAAUUGUGUGAGUGGAGGCCUCUCCUGAACUAUUGGGGGGGGGGGGGAUCUCAGGAGCGCCACUGUGGGGUCAGGCAAAGAUUGGGGCAGGGAGCAGGAAAGAGCUGCCUCUGCACCGGGGGCCAAGGAGGUGUGCGAGUGGAGCCGGGGGACCACCCUGGAGGACCUCCAACUGGCACCGUGUCCUGACUCCUUAGGCAGGGCCUGAUGCCAGGCUCACAGAGACCCCUUCCCCUAUGCAGACCACAGAAGGACAGAGAGGGUCUGUGCCUACCCCCUCCGCAGGGGCACAAAGGCGGGCAUGCAAGCUCCACAUCCCUCCCCCACCAUCCCAUGCGCCCCCCCCCCCCACUUCUGCCGCGCUCACGGCGUCCAGCGCACCCCCCCUCCCCAGUCCCUCCCACCUCCGUAGGGCACGCAGCCUGCUAGACAGGGCUCCCGGACCCCUCCCGACCACCCCACCCGGUCGCGAUUCGCGCGGGCUGGGUCUCAAAGCCUCCUUGGUUGUCCGCCUGGAAGGCACCCAGCGGCAGCAGCGCCCGGUUAGCUCGGAGUCGCGCACCGACCGCAGCCGCCACCCAGGCCCCGCCCAGAGGCAGCCGCGAGCAAGGCCGCGCCAGGGACGACUGCGGAGCGCGGUGUCUGACCUAAUCCACCUCCGGAGCCGGAUCUUUCUGCGUCUGGGUCCUCGGCAAAGACUGCUGGUGAGUGGGAGCCGGGACGCCCCGUGUCUGAGGGAGGAGGGGCUGGGGGCCCGGCCUCCUUGGGUCUGAGGGCAGAGGGGGCUUCCCGCCCAGACUUUUGUGUCAGAGGGAGGAGCAUCUGGGGGCCUGGACUCCUGGGUCCGAGAGAAGGACCUGGGUGCUUGGUUUCCAAGGAAGGAGACACAGACACCUGUGUACCCGAGGGAGAAGUGUGCCCAGGAGCUGGGCUCCUGCGCCCUCGGGGCCUCUCCUAGGUUCAGUUAGGUAAGGUUAAAGCCUGUUCUACUGCCUGACCCUGGAAGGAGGAAGUUUUAUUUCCCUGUGGCUGAGAGAGGCCUUCUGAAAUUGUAGGGUGGAAGCUGAGAGAUUAGAGGUUUUAGGACCUGGGGGAGGAUUUGGACACCUGGUCCCCAGUAGGCUGGACCCUCUCUAUUCCUGAGGGUCUGUAGGACAAGGAGACAGAAGGUUCUGGAGGGACAGAAGAAGGAAGUGGAUUUCCCAAACCACAGGUGUCUGGUGUGCCCAAGGCUGAGGGCCCAGAGUCCUGGGGUCUGAAGCUGUGUAACAGGACGUGAGAGGCCUGGAGGUUUCCGUGGAAGGGGCUGGGUCGCGGAGAGCCAAGCUUCUUGGGCGCCCUGGGGAAUUUGGAGGUUGGACUCCACGUGCGGGAGGGGCCGAGGCGGGCGGAAGCUCGGCGUGCCUGGGUGAAAUACUCCACACCCAAAUCCCAGGUGGGAUUCAGACUGAGGGCCCAGACUCUUGAUCUCCGAGGUGAGAGGGCAUGCGUGCUGUGGAGAGCUCAGGUCCAGUUCCAGAGACAGGUGGGGGGGGGGGGCGGGCAGAGGCUCUGAUCACCUGUGAUCACCUGUGAGUCCCGGAGAACGUUCUCACCCGGGGAGGCUGGAAAUGCCUGCAGGGUGACAGAAGGAAGGUGGGCAGUGGAGCCCUGGGUACCCAGAGGGAGGAGGUGAAGCCCAGUGAAGAGGUCAGAACCUCUUGUGCGGUCGGGGAGGUUUUUGAGUGGCUGGGAGGCUGAGUCCCUGGGGGAAGGAGGGCAGUUUUGAGAGUCUGGGGUGGUUUCACGGUAGCUGGGUUGCAGAGAGAGGGAAGCAGAGACAGCGGCCCAGACUCCUGGGUUCUGCCACAGGACGUGGGAAACCCCAGUCAGGACGGAGGAGGGGGCUGGCACUUGGGUGACCAACUCAGCCCCUUAGGCCUGCCGCGUCUCCCCCCUCCCCCAGCUUGAGUCCUUUGUCCCCAGGGGAGGAAGGGCUGAGGGCCUGGGUUCCCACAUCUGGAACCUUCUUAGGACUCUU
ensembl:lncRNA